rnacentral:rRNA from 1 species
AGUGAACGCUGGCGGUAGGCCUAACACAUGCAAGUCGAACGGCAGCACAGUAAGAGCUUGCUCUUACGGGUGGCGAGUGGCGGACGGGUGAGGAAUACAUCGGAAUCUACUUUUUCGUGGGGGAUAACGUAGGGAAACUUACGCUAAUACCGCAUACGACCUACGGGUGAAAGCAGGGGAUCUUCGGACCUUGCGCGAUUGAAUGAGCCGAUGUCGGAUUAGCUAGUUGGCGGGGUAAAGGCCCACCAAGGCGACGAUCCGUGGCUGGUCUGAGAGGAUGAUCAGCCACACUGGAACUGAGACACGGUCCAGACUCCUACGGGAGGCAGCAGUGGGGAAUAUUGGACAAUGGGCACAAGCCUGAUCCAGCCAUACCGCGUGGGUGAAGAAGGCCUUCGGGUUGUAAAGCCCUUUUGUUGGGAAAGAAAAGCAGCAGGUUAAUACCCCGCUGUUCUGACGGUACCCAAAGAAUAAGCACCGGCUAACUUCGUG